UACGUAGGGUGCAAGCGUUGUCCGGAAUUAUUGGGCGUAAAGGGUGCGUAGGCGGCGCGGUAAGUCGGGUGUGAAAUCUCGGGGCUUAACUCCGAAACUGCAUUCGAUACUGGCGUGCUUGAGGACUGGAGAGGAGACUGGAAUUCAUGGUGUAGCAGUGAAAUGCGUAGAGAUCAUGAGGAAGACCAGUGGCGAAGGCGGGUCUCUGGACAGUUCCUGACACUGAGACACGAAGGCCAGGGGAGCAAACGGG
rnacentral:rRNA from 1 species